CAUUACACAAAUAUGAAGGCGGGCUGGAACCUCUCGGGGUUACAGCCUUGCUGAAUUAUUCACCCUUGUCUUUUGCGUACUUCUUGUUUCCUUGGUGGGUUCGCCCACCACUAGGACAAACAUAAACCUUUUGUAAUUGCAAUCAGCGUCAGUAACAAAUUAAUAAUUACAACUUUCAACAACGGAUCUCUUGGUUCUGGCAUCGAUGAAGAACGCAGCGAAAUGCGAUAAGUAGUGUGAAUUGCAGAAUUCAGUGAAUCAUCGAAUCUUUGAACGCACAUUGCGCCCUUUGGUAUUCCAAAGGGCAUGCCUGUUCGAGCGUCAUUUGUACCCUCAAGCUUUGCUUGGUGUUGGGCGUCUUGUCUCUAGCUUUGCUGGAGACUCGCCUUAAAGUAAUUGGCAGCCGGCCUACUGGUUUCGGAGCGCAGCACAAGUCGCACUCUCUAUCAGCAAAGGUCUAGCAUCCAUUAAGCCUUUUUUUCAACUUUUGACCUCGGAUCAGGUAGGGAUACCCGCUGAACUUAAGCAUAUCAAUAAGCGGAGGAAAAGAAACCAACAGGGAUUGCCCUAGUAACGGCGAGUGAAGCGGCAACAGCUCAAAUUUGAAAUCUGGCUCUUUUAGAGUCCGAGUUGUAAUUUGCAGAGGGCGCUUUGGCUUUGGCAGCGGUCCAAGUUCCUUGGAACAGGACGUCACAGAGGGUGAGAAUCCCGUACGUGGUCGCUGGCUAUUGCCGUGUAAAGCCCCUUCGAC
rnacentral:rRNA from 1 species